UACGUAGGGGGCAAGCGUUGUCCGGAAUCAUUGGGCGUAAAGAGCGUGUAGGCGGCCCGGUAAGUCCGCUGUGAAAGUCCAGGGCUCAACCCUGGGAUGCCGGUGGAUACUGUCGGGCUCGAGUCCGGAAGAGGAGUGUGGAAUUCCGUGGUGUAGCGGUGAAAUGCGUAGAUAUCGUGAGGAAGACCAGUGGCGAAGGCGGAUCUCUGGACAGUUCCUGACGCUGAGGCGCGAAGGCCAGGGGGAGCAAACGGG
rnacentral:rRNA from 1 species